rnacentral:rRNA from 1 species
GACGAACGCUGGCGGCGUGCUUAACAUAUGCAAGUCGAACGAUGAACCCGGAGCUUGCUCCGGUGGAUUAGUGGCGAAUGGGUGAGUAACACGUGAGUAACCUGCCCUUGACUCUGGAAUAACUGCGGGAAACUGUAGCUAAUACCGGAUACGACCCUCGGCCGCAUCGCCCGGGGGUGGAAAGAAUUUCGGUCAAGGAUGGACUCGCGGCCUCUCAGCUAGUUGGUGAGGUAACGGCUCACCAAGGCGACGACGGGUAGCCGGCCUGAGAGGGUGACCGGCCACACUGGGACUGAGACACGGCCCAGACUCCUACGGGAGGCAGCAGUGGGGAAUAUUGCACAAUGGGCGCAAGCCUGAUGCAGCAACGCCGCGUUAGGGAUGACGGCCUUCGGGUUGUAAACCUCUUUUAGUAGGGAAGAAGCGAAAGUGACGGUACCUGCAGAAAAAGCACCGGCUAACUACGUGCCAGCAGCCGCAGUAA